rnacentral:lncRNA from 1 species
UACAUUGUCAUUUCGGGGCCUUUUAUAUCAGACUAUGCAGUAUCGGCUUUUGCUUAUUGUUGAAGGCCGUAAGGUGACCUUUAAAUGUUAAUUUCGGUGUCAUUUUGGUCUCUUGUGGAGAGCUGUCUCAUUGGCAUUCAUACCACAUCUUCUUUUUUUUGUAAAACAUUUAGUGACUUGAGAAUUUCAGAAAAGGUAUCAAACGUCAUAGGUAAUUUGCGGGACAGGAUAAUUGUUUUUUCUAGCCCGGCUCCUUUUCCCACAAAAAAAUCCUUUUUUUUUUGUUUGUUCUCUAUUAAUUUUAAUGACACAUGAAUAAUUUUAGCGCUUAUCUGUAUAUUAUGAACAUUCAUUAAAGGGGGGGGGGGGGGGGCGGGGCAGAGGCGGAUUUAGGGGCCCGGCCCCCUUUUCUGGAAAAUAAUUGGUUGCUUAUAUAGGGAAUAACUGAAGCAUGACCGGAGCGGGCCCCUCUUAGGCAGUCAACGGGCCCCUGCGUAUGAAAAUUUCUGGAUCCGGCACUGCGGAGGGGCCCUGAUCCCAAUAUCCCGGGCUUGAAAACAUGAAAUCCCGAGGUUCUGAAUUUAUUAUACAAAUUAAAUAUCUCGACAUCCCGAAAUUCGAAAAAAGAAAUCCCAGAUCCCGAAAUGGUCAAUCCUGAAAUUUCGAUCUUAUAAACACCCGUUCCAGACGUCCCGAAAGUGUAUUGUCUUUUUACAGUCAAUUCUCAUUUUAGUUUAAUCGGGCCCCUCUUAGGCAGUCAACGGGCCCCUGCGUAUGAAAAUUUCUGGAUCCGCCACUGCGGAGGGGCCCUGAUCCCAAUAUCCCGGGCUUAAAA